rnacentral:rRNA from 1 species
UACGGGAGGCAGCAGGUGGGGAAUAUUGCACAAUGGGCGAAAGCCUGAUGCAGCUAUGCCGCGUGUAUGAAGAAGGCCUUAGGGUUGUAAAGUACUUUCAUCGGGGAGGAAAAAACAAAACUAAUAAUUUUAUUUCUUGACGUUACCCGAAAAAGAAGCACCGGCUAACUCCGUGCCAGCAGCCGCGGUAAUACGGAGGGUGCUAGCGUUAAUCAGAAUUACUGGGCGUAAAGAGCACGUAGGUGGUUUUUUAAGUCAGAUGUGAAAUCCCUGGGCUUAACCUAGGAACUGCAUUUUGAAACUGAAAUACUAGAGUAUCGUAGAGGGAGGUAGAAUUCUAGGUGUAGCGGUGAAAUGCGUAGAUAUCUGGAGGAAUACCUGUGGCGAAAGCGGCCUCCUAAACGAAUACUGACACUGAGGUGCGAAAGCGUGGGGA